GCCACGUGAUGAGUUAAGUAGAUGCAGCAGCUCUCGGGCUGUGAUGACUCGCUAUCUAUCACCCAUAACUGAUGGCU
ensembl:snoRNA SNORD83 Small nucleolar RNA SNORD83